AUGAAGGGAACUGGGUGCAAGUGAUUGGCUGCAGGUCGGGCACGGGGGGUAUAAAGUGUCUCCAUCUUGCCCAGUGGGUAACACAGCAGCCAAUAAUUCAGAACUUCCUAGGAAACAGUCGUCCCGACCCCAGAAAAUCCAACCAGUCAGGAGAAGAUCUGCUGCUCUGUGUGGGUAUCGGCGCGCCUCAGCCAAUCACUGUGUCUUCCUGUUACUCUCCCUGCCCCCCCCCCCUCCUACUGUACUGACUCAUUGGUUGUACAGAAAACAGAGCGCCCAUCCGGAAAGGAAGGGGCACUUCCAGGCCAGUCCCUCCCACAAGGAGCCAAUGGGAAUGUGGGAGGAAGCGAGUGACCCAGUGAUGGGGAAGAAGGAUAAAAAUGAG